GGGCAAGCCCCUUGAGUACACUUAAUUUCUAGUACAGGCAGCGGUAGAGAGAUCGUUAGAGCGUCCGGUAAUGUUGUAACGUUUUACACGAUAGUUUUUUCUGAGUUAAACAUCCCUCACCUGUUAACUAGAGGAGCUAGAGUUAACGAUACGUGAAACAAUGGCAGAGGAAACGUCGUGCAACAUCACCCAGAAAAUCAGCAUUGAAACUGCAGCGAAACCUUCGUGGAAAAUAUCCCCAAAAACGCGUGUUCUAGUUCAGGAAGUAGAUGAAGGUCAGCCAUGUAUAACCUGCAAAGAAAACUGUUCCGGUUUCAUCAGUCACACGUGGAGUUAUUCACCAUGUCUAGCGGAUCACCAGUUAAUCGUCUAAAGCAACAGUGUAUUUCCUGUUUUCAUUUUGGGCAAAGUAGCACUCCGAAAUCUGAUGAAGUAUGCUGUGAAGACAAAUCAAAAGAGACAACUUCAACAUAGUAUUCUGAAGCAAGUGCUUCUACUUUACAAAUAAAAGACACCAUUCCAACAACAGAUAUUGCAUCUGUACUUGACGAAAAUGUCUCAACAGAGAUGAGUGACUCAGCGAAAGCGGUAUUUAUGGAAUGUUGCUGGAAGCUUUCUCCACAUUACAAAUUUGACAAUAAAACGUUCAAAAUAUGACAAAAAUUUAAGGCAAUUGCUUUUCAAUCGACAUGGCUUUAUGGCUAUAAGUGACUUACUUACAGCAAUCACCCUAGUUAAAAAGACGGUGGUGUCUCCCUUGUGUUAUCUUUUUACAAAAAAUGGAAAAGCAAAACUUAGGUGUUUUCGUGAAGACAUCAUUCAAUAACUUAGCUAAAUCCAAAGAGUUACUGAGCAGUCAUGAAUAGAACACCUACCACCAAGAAAGCAUUCAACGUGCACCCUACAAUAAAUCUCAAGUGCGUGAUCUUGGACUUCGAAUCAAUUCGAUUAUUAAUUCAGUUACUGCUGACAAAGUAGAAAGUAAUAAACAAAUUCUCCCAACUAUAGUUGAUGCCGUUUUAUAUUGUGCAAGACAGCAGAUAGGUUUACGAGGGCAUUGAGAUAACAAGAUCGAAUACGCAGAGUUACCUGAUUGCAAUGAAGGAAAUUCUAUUGCACUAAUUUGUCGUAUGUCCAAGCACAACCCAAUUUUUAAAGAGCACAUCUUUUCUGGUCCAAAAAAUACCGUGUACACCAGUAAGACAAUACAAAACGAAAUGAUACAAAUAGUUGCAGAUACAAUUCGUGACCAUUUUCGAAUGUGCAUCCAUGCUUGUCCUCACUACGCAAUAAUAGCAGAUGAAACCUCUUCCAAUACGAGUUUGCAUGCGAGUUUUGGAUGUAACUGGACAGCAGCCAGAAAAACAAAAAGUAUUUCUCGACUUAGUUGACUUUGAGCGAAUAACAGGAUAAAUGAUUACACCAACAAUUCGCGAUACUUUACAGAAACAACAUGUUAAAAUCGAAGAAUGCAAAGGCCAGGUUUAUGACACAAUUGCCUCCUUGAUUUCUGACAAAAAAGCGGAGUUCAAGCAUACAUUAAGAAAUUUGCACCAAAUGCUGAUUACCAAGGAUGUGUGCUUCACUCUCUAAACCUAGCAGUAUGCCAUGGUUGUGACAUACCUUCUAUUCGGAAUAUGAUGGAUUCUUGUCGACCUUUAUUUUCAGUCUUUGACAAUUCAUCCAAACGCCAAAAGUUCUUUCAAAUUAUCAUUGUGACACUUGCUCCUAAUAUUAAAAAAAAAAAAACCCUGCAAAACACGAUGGAUAGAAUGACACACCACUUACGAUACAAUUGAAGAGCUUUAUGUUUACAUUGUCAGAAGACACUAUAAAAUUUGCCAACCCUCACGAGACCCAGAUAUUUACACCGAAGGAGAGAGCUGGAGUUGGCAUUCAGAAACACUGAGUAAAGCAAAUGGGUUACGCCAUACGUUUACUAAUUUUGAGCAUAUCGUCAGUUUUACAAUUGCAAAGGAAGGUUUAGAACCAAUGUGUCCAAUUCAAUUGUGUUUUCAAAAAGUAUAUCAGAUGAUUUAUUGUUAUGCAACCCUUCGUGCAUCUGUUAAUUAUUGGUUUUCCAUUGUUUAUGCCAAAGCCAAAGCCAAAGAAUUAGCACGAUCUGUAAAUUCUGAAGAAAAAUGUCCCAGAAUUAUAUGUGGAUAUCAGAUGCAUCACUCCAAUAGCCCACUACUACAAACACAACAUAGCAAUUCGUUUUCUAGAUAUAAUCUUUGGACAGUUGAGGUCACGCUGUGGAGAAAACAUGCAAACACACUUUGCGUUGUGCUCAUUAAUGCCAGAUGUCCUCCUAAAGAAGGACUUUGAUGAACUUGAAGCACUGACAAAUCUAUUGCUCAAACAAUGGUAAUUUGUUCUUCCACGUCCAACUGCCUUCAAAAGUGAGUUACUUAGAUGGCAACAGCUUUGUAAGGAUAGUAAAAACAGCAAUGAAGCUGUGACGCAACUCAUUUGGCAAACUGCUGAUGAAAUAUUCUUCCCAAACGGCAGAGAAUUAUUUUGUAAUUUAUACCAAUUUUGCCAGUUGGUAGUUGGGAGGCGGAACGUUCAUUUUCUUGUGUUUGUCGCAUUCAUUCAUAGCUUAGCAACACCAUGUUUUCUGAUCCGUGCGUGAUGGCCAUGCAUUAUAAUACUGUUACUUUGUCAACAGAUGAAAUCGUACAACGAUUUAUUUCACUUCAUUCUCGUCAAAUGCAGGCAUAAACCUUUUUUUAACUAUUAGAAUAAAUCCUUCCUUGUUUGGACCUACAUAAACUAUCAUAGUUAUGUUUUGAUUUCUGUCCGUGUACUUCCUUAUACUUGUAUACAUUGAAUAGAUUCAUGUGUAUUUAUCCAAUGCUUAAUCGA
rnacentral:lncRNA from 1 species